GACGAACGCUGGCGGCGUGCUUAACACAUGCAAGUCGAACGGAAAGGCCCUGCUUUUGUGGGGUGCUCGAGUGGCGAACGGGUGAGUAACACGUGAGUAACCUGCCCUUGACUUUGGGAUAACUUCAGGAAAGUGGGGCUAAUACCGGAUAGGAGCUCCUGCUGCAUGGUGGGGGUGGGAAAGUUUCGGCGGUUGGGGAUGGACUAGCGGCUUAUCAGCUUGUUGGUGGGGUAGUGGCUUACCAAGGCCUUGAGGGGUAGCCGGCCUGGGAGGGUGACCGGCCCCACUAGGACUGAGAUACGGCCCAGACUCCUACGGUAGGCAGCGGUGGGGAGUGUUGCACAAUGGGCGGAAGCCUGAUGCAACAACGCCGCGUGGGGGAAGACGUGCUUCGGGUUGUGAAGCGCUGUCGCCUUAGACGAAGCGUGAGUGACGGUAAUGGGUAAAGAAGCACCGGCUAACUACGUG
rnacentral:rRNA from 1 species